rnacentral:rRNA from 1 species
ACUAAGCGUACACGGUGGAUGCCCUGGCAGUCAGAGGCGAUGAAGGACGUGCUAAUCUGCGAUAAGCGUCGGUAAGGUGAUAUGAACCGUUAUAACCGGCGAUUUCCGAAUGGGGAAACCCAGUGUGUUUCGACACACUAUCAUUAACUGAAUCCAUAGGUUAAUGAGGCGAACCGGGGGAACUGAAACAUCUAAGUACCCCGAGGAAAAGAAAUCAACCGAGAUUCCCCCAGUAGCGGCGAGCGAACGGGGAGCAGCCCAGAGCCUGAAUCAGUGUGUGUGUUAGUGGAAGCGUCUGGAAAGGCGCGCGAUACAGGGUGACAGCCCCGUACACAAAAAUGCACAUGCUGUGAGCUCGAUGAGUAGGGCGGGACACGUGGUAUCCUGUCUGAAUAUGGGGGGACCAUCCUCCAAGGCUAAAUACUCCUGACUGACCGAUAGUGAACCAGUACCGUGAGGGAAAGGCGAAAAGAACCCCGGCGAGGGGAGUGAAAAAGAACCUGAAACCGUGUACGUACAAGCAGUGGGAGCACGCUUAGGCGUGUGACUGCGUACCUUUUGUAUAAUGGGUCAGCGACUUAUAUUCUGUAGCAAGGUUAACCGAAUAGGGGAGCCGAAGGGAAACCGAGUCUUAACUGGGCGUUAAGUUGCAGGGUAUAGACCCGAAACCCGGUGAUCUAGCCAUGGGCAGGUUGAAGGUUGGGUAACACUAACUGGAGGACCGAACCGACUAAUGUUGAAAAAUUAGCGGAUGACUUGUGGCUGGGGGUGAAAGGCCAAUCAAACCGGGAGAUAGCUGGUUCUCCCCGAAAGCUAUUUAGGUAGCGCCUCGUGAAUUCAUCUCCGGGGGUAGAGCACUGUUUCGGCAAGGGGGUCAUCCCGACUUACCAACCCGAUGCAAACUGCGAAUACCGGAGAAUGUUAUCACGGGAGACACACGGCGGGUGCUAACGUCCGUCGUGAAGAGGGAAACAACCCAGACCGCCAGCUAAGGUCCCAAAGUCAUGGUUAAGUGGGAAACGAUGUGGGAAGGCCCAGACAGCCAGGAUGUUGGCUUAGAAGCAGCCAUCAUUUAAAGAAAGCGUAAUAGCUCACUGGUCGAGUCGGCCUGCGCGGAAGAUGUAACGGGGCUAAACCAUGCACCGAAGCUGCGGCAGCGACGCUGAUGCGUUGUUGGGUAGGGGAGCGUUCUGUAAGCCUGCGAAGGUGUGCUGUGAGGCAUGCUGGAGGUAUCAGAAGUGCGAAUGCUGACAUAAGUAACGAUAAAGCGGGUGAAAAGCCCGCUCGCCGGAAGACCAAGGGUUCCUGUCCAACGUUAAUCGGGGCAGGGUGAGUCGACCCCUAAGGUGAGGCCGAAAGGCGUAGUCGAUGGGAAACAGGUUAAUAUUCCUGUACUUGGUGUUACUGCGAAGGGGGGACGGAGAAGGCUAUGUUGGCCGGGCGACGGUUGUCCCGGUUUAAGCGUGUAGGCUGGUUUUCCAGGCAAAUCCGGAAAAUCAAGGCUGAGGCGUGAUGACGAGGCACUACGGUGCUGAAGCAACAAAUGCCCUGCUUCCAGGAAAAGCCUCUAAGCAUCAGGUAACAUCAAAUCGUACCCCAAACCGACACAGGUGGUCAGGUAGAGAAUACCAAGGCGCUUGAGAGAACUCGGGUGAAGGAACUAGGCAAAAUGGUGCCGUAACUUCGGGAGAAGGCACGCUGAUAUGUAGGUGAAGUCCCUUGCGGAUGGAGCUGAAAUCAGUCGAAGAUACCAGCUGGCUGCAACUGUUUAUUAAAAACACAGCACUGUGCAAACACGAAAGUGGACGUAUACGGUGUGACGCCUGCCCGGUGCCGGAAGGUUAAUUGAUGGGGUCAGCGCAAGCGAAGCUCUUGAUCGAAGCCCCGGUAAACGGCGGCCGUAACUAUAACGGUCCUAAGGUAGCGAAAUUCCUUGUCGGGUAAGUUCCGACCUGCACGAAUGGCGUAAUGAUGGCCAGGCUGUCUCCACCCGAGACUCAGUGAAAUUGAACUCGCUGUGAAGAUGCAGUGUACCCGCGGCAAGACGGAAAGACCCCGUGAACCUUUACUAUAGCUUGACACUGAACAUUGAGCCUUGAUGUGUAGGAUAGGUGGGAGGCUUGGAAGUGUGGACGCCAGUCUGCAUGGAGCCGACCUUGAAAUACCACCCUUUAAUGUUUGAUGUUCUAACGUGGACCCGUGAUCCGGGUUGCGGACAGUGUCUGGUGGGUAGUUUGACUGGGGCGGUCUCCUCCUAAAGAGUAACGGAGGAGCACGAAGGUUGGCUAAUCCUGGUCGGACAUCAGGAGGUUAGUGCAAUGGCAUAAGCCAGCUUGACUGCGAGCGUGACGGCGCGAGCAGGUGCGAAAGCAGGUCAUAGUGAUCCGGUGGUUCUGAAUGGAAGGGCCAUCGCUCAACGGAUAAAAGGUACUCCGGGGAUAACAGGCUGAUACCGCCCAAGAGUUCAUAUCGACGGCGGUGUUUGGCACCUCGAUGUCGGCUCAUCACAUCCUGGGGCUGAAGUAGGUCCCAAGGGUAUGGCUGUUCGCCAUUUAAAGUGGUACGCGAGCUGGGUUUAGAACGUCGUGAGACAGUUCGGUCCCUAUCUGCCGUGGGCGCUGGAGAACUGAGGGGGGCUGCUCCUAGUACGAGAGGACCGGAGUGGACGCAUCACUGGUGUUCGGGUUGUCAUGCCAAUGGCACUGCCCGGUAGCUAAAUGCGGAAGAGAUAAGUGCUGAAAGCAUCUAAGCACGAAACUUGCCCCGAGAUGAGUUCUCCCUGACCCUUUAAGGGUCCUGAAGGAACGUUGAAGACGACGACGUUGAUAGGCCGGGUGUGUAAGCGCAGCGAUGCGUUGAGCUAACCGGUACUAAUGAACCGUGAGGCUUAACC